AUGAACGCUGGCGGCGUGCCUCAUACAUGCAAGUCGAGCGAACAGACGAGGAGCUUGCUCCUCUGACGUUAGCAGCGGACGGGUGAGUAACACGUGGAUAACCUACCUAUAAGACUGGGAUAACUUCGGGAAACCGGAGCUAAUACCGGAUAAUAUAUUGAACCGCAUGGUUCAAUAGUGAAAGACGGUUUUGCUGUCACUUAUAGAUGGAUCCGCGCCGCAUUAGCUAGUUGGUAAGGUAACGGCUUACCAAGGCAACGAUGCGUAGCCGACCUGAGAGGGUGAUCGGCCACACUGGAACUGAGACACGGUCCAGACUCCUACGGGAGGCAGCAGUAGGGAAUCUUCCGCAAUGGGCGAAAGCUUGACGGAGCAACGCCGCGUGAGUGAUGAAGGUCUUCGGAUCGUAAAACUCUGUUAUUAGGGAAGAACAAAUGUGUAAGUAACUAUGCACGUCUUGACGGUACCUAAUCAGAAAGCCACGGCUAACUACGUG
rnacentral:rRNA from 1 species